rnacentral:rRNA from 1 species
GACGAACGCUGGCGGCGUGCUUAACACAUGCAAGUCGAACGGAAAGGCCUGCUUUCCCUUGUGGAUUGCGGGUACUCGAGUGGCGAACGGGUGAGUAACACGUGAGUGAUCUGCCCCCAACUUGGGUAUAAGCCUGGGAAACUGGGUCUAAUUCCCGAUAGGACUGCAGGGUGGUGCCUGUGGUGGAAAACGAUUUUCUAGUGGUUGGGGAUGAGCUCGCGGCCUAUCAGCUUGUUGGUGGGGUAAUGGCCUACCAAGGCGGCGACGGGUAGCCGGCCUGAGAGGGUGGACGGCCACAUUGGGACUGGGAUACGGCCCAGACGCCUACGGGAGGCAGCAGUGGGGAAUAUUGGACAAUGGGCGGAAGCCUGAUGCAGCGACGCCGCGUGGGGGAUGACGGCCUUCGGGUUGUAAACUCCUUUCGACCGCGAGGAAGCCACCUGGUUGGAAGGGUGGUGACGGUAGUGGUAGAAGAAGCACCGGCUAACUACGUG